rnacentral:lncRNA from 1 species
GCAGCGCCCUGGGGCGGUUUGGGGGUGCCUGAGACGGAGAGGGGGCCUGGGCCGGAGGCCCGGGGUGGGUUAGGGAGCGCCCCCGGCCCGACGCUGCCCGCGCCUCUGCCGCCGCCGCCGCCGCUGGCUGGGCUCCGGGAAGCUAGUCCGGAGCGGAGGAAUCUAUUGUUAUUUAUUGUGUGGCGGCUGAAUGCUGUACUCGCGGCGGCCCGGCCCUCGCCCGGGAGUGCGUGUGUGCGCGCGUGUGUAUGUGUGUGUGUGUGUGCGUGUGCGCGAGUGUGUGUGCGGGGUGCGCGCGCGGGCGGGAGUGGGCGCGCGCGGGGAAAGGCCCGAAAACACCUUAGUUUGCACCGAGAGACCAUUUGCAGCGGAACCCGAAAGUUUGCAAGAGGAAGAGAGCGCGCGGCGAACAAGCGGGCAAGGGGCAGCGGCAGCGGCGCCGCCAGGGACCAUGGUGCUGCCGGCGCCUCCUCCGCGGGCGUGAAGGCGGCGCUCCCACUCUCCCCUCGGACUCCGCGGGUAAGUCGAGGCGGCCUUGGGCACCGGGGCGAGGACGGGGGCGGGUGGGGGAAGGGGCACCCUAGAGCUUCGGGCUGCACCCCGGGGCUUCUCUGCGCCCAAAGCCCCAACAUGGGCGGUGCGAGCGCAGCGAUCAGGCGUAGGAGCCAGGAAUGUGCCCAUCCUCAAGCCGUGUCCCAGGAGCUUCUGCUGACAAUUCCAGUUUCCACACGCAACAUUUGGGCAAUGGUGAGGGCUUCGGUCCCUUCUUUGGUUUGCUGUCAACCAUGAAUGGAUGGAUUUGAUGCCUGCUGGCCAAAAGGGUGAGUGAACAUUUAUGAUUAUUCGUCUGAAAAUUCACCAGACCAAACGUCAGCUCAAAGGGGUCCUACCCAGUGCAGGAAACUGAAACA